GACGAACGCUGGCGGCGUGCUUAACACAUGCAAGUCGAACGGAAAGGCCCUGCUUUUGUGGGGUGCUCGAGUGGCGAACGGGUGAGUAACACGUGAGUAACCUGCCCUUGACUUUGGGAUAACUUCAGGAAACUGGGGCUAAUACCGGAUAGGAGCUCCUGCUGCAUGGUGGGGGUUGGAAAGUUUCGGCGGUUGGGGAUGGACUCGCGGCUUAUCAGCUUGUUGGUGGGGUAGUGGCUUACCAAGGCUUUGACGGGUAGCCGGCCUGAGAGGGUGACCGGCCACAUUGGGACUGGGGUACGGCCCAGACUCCUACGGGAGGCAGCAGUGGGGAAUAUUGCACAAUGGGCGGAAGCAUGAUGCCGCAACGCCGCGUGCGAGAUGACGGCCUUCGGGUUGUGUACCGCUUUCGCCUGUGCCGAAGCGUGAGUGACGGUAAUGGGUAAAGAAGCACCGGCUAACUACGUG
rnacentral:rRNA from 1 species